rnacentral:rRNA from 1 species
AGAAUCAACGCUGGCGGCGUGCCUAACACAUGCAAGUCGAACGAGAAAGUGGGAGCAAUCCCACGAGUAAAGUGGCGCACGGGUGAGUAACACGUGACUAACCUACCCUUGAGUGGGGGAUAACCUAGGGAAACCUGGGCUAAUACCGCAUAAUACCUACGGGUCAAAGGAGCAAUUCGCUUUAGGGAGGGGUCGCGGCAGAUUAGUUAGUUGGCGGGGUAAUGGCCCACCAAGACAGUGAUCUGUA